CCAAUAGCGUAUAUUAAAGUUGUUGCAGUUAAAAAGCUCGUAGUUGAAUUUCGGGAUCAAUACUUCGGUCGUGCCACGGUACGUACUGGGGUCAUUGAUUUCUCCCUUCUGAAGAACCAUGAUGUCAUUAACUUGGUGUUAUGGGAAAUCAGGACUGUUACUUUGAAAAAAUUAGAGUGUUUAAAGCAGGCUCACGCUUGAAUACAUUAGCAUGGAAUAA
rnacentral:rRNA from 1 species